rnacentral:misc_RNA from 1 species
GUGAAUGGCAGUAAUCCAAUGCCUGCAUUACAAAGAUUAUUAGUUCAUAAACUUUCAAGUUGCUGCCGUACCACAUCAAUUAUCUUUGGAACUCAUGAUCUACAGUGCCUUUUGUAGCUGGCAAGAAGCCCAAAGGAGGCCAUACCUCAACCAAAAAAGAAUAAGAAAGCCAAUAAAAUGUGAAAAAUCAAUUUUGAUUAAUGGUAGAGCUAAAACAAAUGAUUCUAAUAAGUGAUAUGAAUGCUUGAUACAAACCCGGGUCAAUGUGGUUACUACUUACUCAAAUAUAUACGAUCUACGAUCCCAUCAUUUUAAUGUAAUUCUAUCAAAAACAGAGUCACAUUAACAAGACCCACAAACAUGAUGUAAACACAUCUGAAGCUUGUGAAUUUA